UCUCCGUAGGUGAACCUGCGGAGGGAUCAUUACUGAGUGAGGGCUCCGGCCCGACCUCCAACCCCAUGUGAACCGAAAUCUGUUGCUUCGGGGGCGACCCUGCCGACGACUUCGUCGCCGGGCGCCCCCGGAGGCUCAUCAAACACUGCAUCUUUGCGUCGGAGUCUUAAUGAAUUUAAACAAAACUUUUAACAACGGAUCUCUUGGUUCUGGCAUCGAUGAAGAACGCAGC
rnacentral:misc_RNA from 1 species